GGAGAGGUGGCUGAGUGGUCGAAAGCACCGGUUUCGAAAACCGGCAGAGUCGAAAGAUUCUCGAGGGUUCGAAUCCCUCCCUCUCCG
rnacentral:tRNA from 1 species